GCCUGGGUGGCUCAGUCAGUUAAGCAUCUGACUUCGGCUCAGAUCAUGAUCUCACAGUUUGUGGGUUCAAGCCCCGCAUCGGGCU
rnacentral:tRNA from 1 species